UACGUAGGGUGCAAGCGUUAAUCGGAAUUACUGGGCGUAAAGCGUGCGCGGGCGGUUUUGUAAGUCUGUCGUGAAAGCCCCGGGCUCAACCUGGGAAUUGCGAUGGAGACUGCAAGGCUUGAAUCUGGCAGAGGGGGGUAGAAUUCCACGUGUAGCAGUGAAAUGCGUAGAGAUGUGGAGGAACACCGAUGGCGAAGGCAGCCCCCUGGGUCAAGAUUGACGCUCAUGCACGAAAGCGUGGGGAGCGAACAGG
rnacentral:rRNA from 1 species